rnacentral:lncRNA from 1 species
AGCUUCCGGAGCAGCUGGGACUGCUGGCGCCCGCCACUACGCUCGGCUAAUUUUUUUGUGUUUUUAGUAGAGACGGGCUUUCACCGUGUUGGCCUAGCGGUUCUCCAACUCCUGACCUCAUGAUCCCCCCGCCUCAGCCUCCCAAAGUGCUGGGAUUACAAGCGUGAGCCACCGCGACCCGCCAACACUCUUGACAACAGUGCUGUGCUAAGAACUUGGGGGACUUCAAAAAGUUCACCAGUUCCUGUGUCCAUGGGUGAAAAGAUUUUCUACAUCUUUCCUUGACUAGAAACAGAAGUCCUGAAACAAGGUACACCUUCUUGAGGCUUACUUGAAUAUAACGUCAGGAGGCCAGAGGCUUUGUCCUGCCUAAUGUGUUAUUUCCACACUGAAUAAAAGCACCUGAGUCCUGAAUUCUCCAAACACCACCUCACACAGUUUUGGAAUCUCUUUGUCUUCAUUUCCCAGAAUUUGGAAGAGUUCAUCUAGUAUCUCUGCAUUUUAAAAAGGUUGUACAUCUAGCAAUACCUAACAAAAUAGGAAAUCAACUUGGGGAUUCUGCUUUUGCAUCUUCCUCGUUUUCUCUUGCCGCUGCCAAGUAAGAAGUGCCUUUCACCUCACACCAUGUUUCUGAGGCCUCCCCAGCCAUGUGGAACUGCAAGUCCAGUUAAACCUCUUUUUCUUCUCAGGUUCCAAAAUUAUUUUAGGCAUGGGAUCAAAGAAGAAACUUCUUUGUAGCAGCAUCCCAGUACUAGGACUUUUUGUCUCUGCAUGGAAAUCUGAAUAUAUUUAUAUGUUGGAGUGACAUCUCUACAGGAAGCCUAGAGACCUAACUGUUUGCUACAUGUCACCAAAGUUAAAGUGGCUACCUUAAUGAGCAGCCAGGAUGCCAUCAUCUCCGACCUGAAUGACAAUAACCUCCAAACCAGCCUUUGUAUACUCCUUCCUGCUGCUCUGCAGUCCACUUCCACAGACCAGCCAACUGAAUCUCCUUAUAGAUUCAUAAUGGCCAUCAGCACAAAGAUGUUUUAUCUGCAGUCAACCAGUCAUGUUUCAUGAUGGCAUCAAAAUGUGAGUACAUUUUGUCUAUGGGUUCCUGGAAAUAUGGUACUCUGGUGACCCCAUAAAGAGCCAGUGUUUAUUCUAUAGGUUAGCACAUAUUCCCUUGGCAAAGACAUCCACACAGAAGUGAGGUAGCAAGAUCUCAAAGUGCAAAAGAUAAUGAAAGAACAAGACUUGUAGAACACAGCCUUGGAUAAUACUUAACAGGAGUGGAUCAAAAUAUGAGGUCAAUAAAAGAUAUUUAAAAAAGAUUAGCAAGGAGAAUGAAAAUCAAGAGAAUAUGUUGUCAUUAUACAAAGGGAGAAAUAAGAGCAUGUAAUCAACAGAGCCAAGUUAAUGGUCAUGGAUGGUGCGCUUAUCAUAUGAUUAAAGAAAACAGCAUCUGCCUUCAUGGUGAAAUAUGCUUAAAAAGUGAUUACAUUUUUAUUUUAAAAGGUUAUAUUUCAUGUCUUCUUAAAUAAAAUCUUCUUAUAUAAAAUAUUUAACCUGGCUUUCAAUAUUGGGAAGAAUUAGUGUGGGCGGAAGGAAGUUAAGUGGUGUUCUAAGGGAAAGAUGGUGUAUCCAAAUGUGUACGUAUACCCAGAAUAGAGAAUAGAAUGAACACAGAACUAAACAUGUUCUGUCUGUGGACUAUAAUUUUAAUUUCAAACCCCCUUGAAAGGUCCAUGAAAGAGAGACGUGCAGUGCGGACUUCAAAUAUAUGACAUGUGAACAUUUAUACAUAAAUAUGUAUUCAUUUAUUAGGACAAUAAAGAAUUUUAUUUCUUUCUUUUUUCAUAAAUUAUACUUUAAGUUCUGGGAUACAUGUGCAGAAUGUGCAGGUUUGUUACAUAGGUACACAUGUGCCAUGGUGGUUUGCUGCACCCAUCAACCAGUCAUCUAUAUCAGGUAUUUCUCCUAAUGCCAUCCCUCCCCUUGCCCUUGACGCCCCCUGACAGGCCUUAGUGUGUGAUGUUCCCCUCCCUGUGCCCAUGUAUUCACAUUGUUCAACUCCCACUUAUGAGUCAGAGCAUGCGCUGUUCAGUUUUCUGUUCCUGUGUUAGUUUGCUGAGAAUGAUGGUUUCCAGUUUCAUCCAUAUCCCUGCAAAGGACAUGAACUCAUUCUUUUAUUUUUAUGGCUGCAUAGUAUUCCAUGGUGUAUAUGUGGCACAUUUGCUUUAUCCAGUCUGUCAUUCAUGGGCAUUUGGGUUGGUUCCAAGUCUUUGCUAUUGUAAAUAGUGUUGCAGUAAAUGUACAUGUGCAUGUGUCUUUAUAGUAGAAUAAUUUAUAAUCCUCUGGGUAUAUACUCAGUAACGGGAUUGCUGGGUCAAAUGGUAUUUCUGGUUCUAGAUCCUCGAGGAAUCACCACACUGUCUUCCUCAAUGGAUGAACUAAUUUACACUCCCAUCAACAGUGUAAAAGCGUUCCUGUUUCUCCACAUAUUCUCCAGCAUCUGUUGUUUCGUGACUUUUUUUUUUUGCUUAAUCUUUGUAAUUUUUCAAUUUGAAAUUUCUUUUUUUAUUAUUAUACUUUAAGUUCUAGGGUAUAUGUGCACAAUGUGCAGGUUUGUUACAUAUGUAUACAUGUACCAUGUUGGUGUGCUGCACCCAUUAACUCGUCAUUUACAUAAGGUAUAUCUUCUAAUGCUAUCACUCCCCCCUCCCCCCACCCCACAACAGGCCCUGGUGUGUGAUGCUUCCCAUCCUGUGUACAAGUGUUCUCAUUGUUCAUUUCCCACCUACAAGUGAGAACAUGCAGUGUUUGGUUUUCUGUCCUUGCGAUAGUUUGCUCAGAAGGAUGGUUUCCAGCUUCAUCCAUGUCCCUACAAAGGACAUGAACUCAUCCUUUUUAAUGGCUGCAUAGUAUUCCAUGGUGUAUAUGUGCCACAUUUUCUUAAUCCAGUCUAUCAUUGAUGGAAAUUUGGGUUGGUUCCAAGUCUUUGCUAUUGUGAACAUUGCCACAAUAAAUAUAUGUGUGCAUGUGUCUUUAUAGCAGCGUGAUUUAUAGUCCUUUGGGUAUAUACCCAGUAUUGGGAUGGCUGGGUCAAAUGGUAUUUCUAGUUCUAGAUCCUUGAGGAAUUUCCACACUGUCUUCCACAAUGGUUGAACUAGUGUAAAAGUGUUCCUAUUUCUCCACAUCCUCUCCAGCACCUGUUGUUUCCUGACUUUAAUAAUCGCCAUUCUAACUGGUGCAAGAUGGUAUCUCAUUGUGGUUUUGAUUUGCAUUUCUCUGAUGGCCAGUGAUAAUGAGCAUUUUUUCAUGUGUCUGUUGUCUGCAUAAAUGUCUUCUUUUGAGGAGUGUCUGUUCAUAUCCUUUUCCCACUUUUUGAUGGUGUUGUUUGUUUUUUUCUUGUAAAUUUGUUUGAGUUCAUUGUAGAUUCUGGAUAUUAGCCCUUUGUAGAUUGCAAAAAUUUUCUCCCAUUCUGUAGGUUGCCUGUUCACUCUGAUGAUAGUUUCUUUUGCUGUGCAGAAGCUCUUUAGUUUAAUUAGAUCCCAUUUGUCAAUUUUGGCUUUUGUUGCCAUUGCUUUUUGUGUUUUAGACAUGAAGUCCUUGCCCAUGCCUGUGUCCUGAAUGGUAUUGCCCAGGUUUUCUUCUAGGGUUUUUAUUGUUUUAGGUCUAAUAUUUAAGUCUUUAAUCCAUCUUGAAUUAAUUUUAGUAUAAGGUGUAAGGGAGGGAUCCAGUUUCAGCUUUCUACAUAUGGCUAGCCAGUUUUCCCAGCACCAUUCAUUAAAUAGGGAACCCUUUCCCCAUUCCUUGUUUUUUGUCAGUUUCCUGACUUUUUAAUGAUCACCAUUCUAAAUGGCAUGAGAUGGUAUCUCAUUGUGGUUUUGAUUUGCAUUUCUCUAAUGACCAGUGAUGAUGAGCUUUUUUUCAUAUGUUUGUUGGCUGCAUAAAUGUUUUCUUUUGAAAAGUAUCUGUUUAUAAACUUUGGCCAUUUUUUGAGGGAGUCGUUUUUUUUUUCUUGUAAAUUUGUUUAUGUUCCUUGUAGAUUCUUGAUAUUAGCCGUUUGUCAGAUGUAUACAUUGCACAAGUUUUUUUCCCAUUCUGUAAGUUGCCUGUUCACUCUGAUGAUAGAUUCUUUUGCUAUGCAGAAGCUCUUUAGUUGAAUUACAUCCCAUUUGUCAAUUUUGGCUUUUGUUGCAAUUGCUAUUGGUGUUUAGGUCAUGAAAUCUUUGGCCAUGCCUAUGUCCUGAAUGGUAUUGCCUAGGUUUUCACCUAGGGUUUUUAUAGUUUUAGGUCUUAGGUUUAAAUCUUUAAUCCAUCUUGAGUUAAUUUUUGUAUAAAGUGUAAGGAAGGGGUCCAGUUUCAGUUCUCUGCAUAUGGCUAGACAAUUUUCCCAACAUAAUUUAUUAAACAGGGAAUCCUUCCCCCAUUGUGUGGGAAUCCAUUCCCACACGAGCAACGUGUGGGAAUCCAUUCCCACACAAGCAAUGUGUGGUGUUAUUUCUGAGGCCUCUGUUCUGUUCCAAUGGUGUAUAUAUCUGUUUUGUUACGAGUACCAUGCUGUUUUGGUUACUGUAGCCUUGUAGUAUAGUUUGAAGUCAGGUAGCGUGAUGCCUCCAGCUUUGUUCCUUUUAAGUAGGAUUGUCUUGACAAUAUGGGCUCUGUUGUGGUUCCAUAUGAAAUUUAAAGUAGUUUUUUCUAAUUCUGUGAAGAAAGCCAAUGGUAACUUGAUGGGAAUAGCAUUGAAUCUAUAAAUUACUUUGGGCAUGAUGGCCAUUUUCAUAAUAUUGAUUCUUCCUAUCCAUGAGCAUUUUCCAUUUGUUUGUGUCCUCUCUUACUUACUUCCUUCAGCAGUGGUUUGUAGUUCUCCUUCAUGAGGUCCUCCACAUCCCUUGUAAGUUGUAUUCCUAGGUAUUUUAUUCUGUUUGUAGCAAUUGUGAAUGGGUGUUUGCUCAUGAGUUGGCUCUCUAUUAUUGGUGUAUAGGAAUGCUUGUGAUUUUCGCACAUUGAUUUUGUAUCCUGAGACUUUGCUGAGGUUGCUUAUCAGCUUAAGGAGUUUUUGAGCUGAGAUGAUGGUGUUUUCUAAAUAUACAAUCAUGUCAUCUGCAAACAGAGACAAUUUGACCUCCUCUCUUCCUAUUUGAAUACACUUUAUUUCUUCUUGCCUGAUUGCCCUGGCCAGAAAUUCCAAUACUAUGUUUAAUAGGAGUGGUGAGAGAUGGCAUCCUUGUCUUGUGCUGGUUUUAAAAGGGAUUACUUCCAGCUUUUGUCCAUUGAUAUUCCAUCAAUAUCUAGUUUAUUGGGUGUUUUUAGCAUGAAGGGGUGUUCAAUUUUAUUGAAGGUCUUUUCUGCAUCUAUUGAGAUAAUCAUGUGGUUUUUGUCCUAGGUUCUGUUUGUGUGACAGGAUUACAUUUAUUGAUUUGCAUAUAUUGAACCAGCCUUGCAUCCCUGGGAAGAAGCUGUCUUUAUCGUGGUGGAUAAGCUUUUUGUUAUGCUGCUGGAUUUGGUUUUCCAGUAUUUUCUUGAGGAUUUUUGCAUCGAUCUUCAUCAGGGAUAUUGGCCUGAAAUUUUCUUUUUUUGUUGUGUCUUUGCCAGGUUUUGGUAUCAAGAUGAUGCUGGCCUCAUAAAAUGAAUUAGGGAGGAGUCCUUCUUUUUAUAUAUUUUUGGAAAGUUUCAGAAGGAAUGGUACCAGGUCCUCUUUGUACCUGUGGUAGAAUUUGGCUGUGAAUCUGUCUCAUCCUGGGUUUUUUUUUUUUAUUGGUAGGCUAUUAAUGGCUUCCUCAAUUUCAGAACCCAUUAUUGGUCUAUUCAAGGAUUCGACCUCUCCUGAUUUAUUCUUGGGAGGUUGUAUGUGCCCAGAAAUUUAUCAAUUUCUUCUGUUUUUCUAGUUUAUUUGGGUAGAGGUAUUUAUAGUAUUAUUUGCUGGUAGUUUGUAGUUCUGUGGUUUCAGUGGUGAUCUCUCCUUUAUCAUUUCUUACUGUGUCUAUUUGAUUCUUCUCUCUUUUCUUCUUUGUUAAUCUGGCUAGUGGUCUAUCUUGUUAAUCUUUUCAAAAAACCAGCUCCUGGAUUCAUUGAUUUUUUGAAGGGCUUUCAUGUCUCUAUCUCUUUCCAUUCUGCUCUGAUCUUAGUUAUUUCUUGUCUUCUGCUAACUUUUGAAUUUGUUUGCUCUUGCUUCUUUAGUUCUUUUAAUUGUGAUGUUAGGGUGUCAAUUUUAUAUAUUUCCCACUUUCUUUUGUGGGCAGUUAGUGCUAUAAAUUUCCCUCUAAACACUGUUUUAGCUGUGUCCCAGAGAUUCUGGUAUGUUGUGUCUUUGUUUUCAUUGGAUGCGAAGAAGUUACUUUUUUUCUGCCUCAAUUUCAUUAUUUACCCAGUAGUCAUGCAGGAGCAGGUUGUUCAAUUUCCAUGUAGUUGUGGGGUUUUGAGUGAGUUUCUUAAUCCUGAGUUCUAAUUUGAUUGCACUGUGAUUUGAGAGAUUGUUUGUUAUGAUUUCUGUUCUUUCGCAUUUGCUGAGGAGUGUUUUACUUCCAAUUAUGUGGUCAAUUUUAGAAUAAGUGCUAUGUGGUACUGAGAAGAAUGUAUUUUAUGUUAAUUUGGGGUGGAGAGUUCUGUAGUUGUCUAUUAGUUCUGCUUAGUCCAGAGCUGAGUUCAAGACCUGAAUAUCCUUGUUAAUUUUCUGUCUCAUUGAUCUGUCUAAUAUUGACAGUGGGGUGUUAAAGUCUCCCACUAUUAUUGUGUGGGAGCCUAAGUCUCUUUGUAGGUCUCUAAGAACUUGCUUUAUGAAUCUAGGUGCUCCUGUAUUGGGUGCAUAUAUAUUUAGAACAGUCAGCACUUCUUGUUGCAUUGAUCCCUUCACCAUUAUGUAAUGCCCUUCUUUGUCUUUUUUGAUCUUUGUUGUUUUAAAGUCUGUUUUAUCAGAGAGUAGGAUUGCAACCCCUGCCUUCCUUUUUUCUUUCCAUUUGCUUUGUAAAUAUUCCUGCAUCCCUUUAUUUUUAGCCUAUGUGUGUCUUUACACAUGAGAUGGGUCUCCUGAAUACAGCACACCUAUGGGUCUUGACUGUUUAAUCUGAUUUGCCAGUCUCUGUCUUUUAAUUGGGCAUUUAGCCCAUUCACAUUUAAGUUUAAUAUUGUUAUGUGUGAAUUUGAUCCUGUCAUUAUGAUGUUCACUGGUUAUUUUGCCCGUUAGUUGAUGCAGUUCCUUCAUAGUGUCAAUGGUCUUUACAUUUUGAUUUGUUUUUGCAGUGGCUGGUACCAGUUUUUCCUUUCCAUAUUUAGGGCUUCCUUCAGGAGCUCUCAUAAGACAGGUCUGGUGGUCACAAAAUCCCUCAGCAUUUGCCUCUCUGUAAAGGAUUUUAUUUCUCCUCCACUUAUAAAGCUUAGUUUGGCUGGAUAUAAAAUUCUGGGUUGAAAAUUCUUUUCUUUAAAAAUGUUGAAUAUUCGCCUCCACUUUCUUCUGGCUAGUAGGGUUUCUUCAGAGAGAUUGCUGCUAACAUUUGAUUGGCUUCCCUUUGUUGGUAACCCGACCUUUCUUACUGGCUGCCCUUAACAUUUUUUACUUCAUUUCAACCUUGGUGAAUCUGAUGAUUAUGUGUCUUGGGGUUGCUCUUCUCAAAAAAUAUCUUUGUGGUCUUCUCUUUAUUUCCUGAAUUUGGAUGUUGACCUGUAUUGCUAGGUUGGGGAAGUUCUGCUGUGUAAUUUCCUGAAGAGUGUUUUCCAACUUGGUUCCAUUCUCCCCAUCACUUUCAGGCACACCAAUCAAAUGUAGGUUUGGUCUUUUCACAUAGUCCCCUAUUUCUUGGAGGCUUUGUUUGUUCCUUUUCAUUCUUUUUUCUCUAAUCUUGUCUUCAUGCUUGAUUUCAUUAAGUUGAUCUUCAAUCUCUGAUGUCCUUUUUCCACUUGAUCUAUUCGGCUAUUGAUACUUGUGUAUGCUUCACAAAGUUCUCCUCCUGUGUUUUUCAGCUCCAUCAGGUAAUUUAGGCUCUUCUGUAAACUGGUUACUCUUGUUAGCAAUUCCUCUAACCUUUUAUCAAGGUUCUUAGCUUCCUUGCAUUUGGUUAGAACUUGCUCCUUUAGCUCAGAGGAGUUUAUUACCCAUCUUCUAAAUAAAGCCUACUUCUGUCAAUUUGUCAAACUCAUUCUCCAACCAGUUUUGUCCCUUGCUGGCGAGGAGCUGUGAUCCUUUGCAGGAGAAGAGGCAUUCUGGGUUUUGGCAUUUUCAGCCUUUUUGCACUGGUUUUUCCUCAUCUUCCUUGGAUUUAUUUACCUUUGGUCUUUGCUGUUGGUGACCUUUGGAUGAAGUUUUUGCUUGGUCAUUUUUUUUAAAGUUGAUUCUAUUGCUUUCUGUUUGUUAGUUUCCCUUCUAACAUUCAGGCCCCUCUUCUGCAGGUGUGCUGGAGUUUGCUGGGGGUCCACUCUAGAUCCUGUUUGCCUGAGUAUCACCAGCGGACACUGUAGAACAGCAAAGAUUGCUGCCUGCUCCUUCCUCUGGAAGCUUCGUCCCAGAGGGGCACCUGCAAGAUGCCAACCAGAGCUCUCCUGUAUGAGUUGUCUGUUGACCCCUGCUGGGAGGUGUCUCCCUUUCAGGAGGCUCAGGGGUCAGGGACCCACUUGAGGAGGCAGUCUGUCCCUUAGCAGAGCUUAAAUGUUGUGCUGGAAGAUCUGCUUCUGUCUUCAGAGCCAGCAGGCAGGAAUAUUUAAGUCCACUGAAGCUGUGCCCACAGCAGCCCCUUCCCCCAGGUCCCAGGGAGAUGAUGGGAGUUUUAUCUAUAACCUCCUAACUGGGACUGCUGCCUUUCUUUCAGAGAUGCCCUACCCAGAGAGGAGGAAUCUAGAGAGAGUCUGCCUAAUUUGGCUUUGCUGCGCUGCAAUGGGCUCCCUCCAGUCCAAAGUUCCUGGAGGCUUUGUUUACAUUGUGAGGGAAAAACCGCUUACUCAAGCCUCAGUAAUGGCAGACGCCCCUCCCCCCAUCAAGCUCCAAUGUCCCAGGUCAACUUCAGACUGUUGUGCUGGCAGCGAGAAUUUCAAGUCAGUGGAUCUUAGCUUGCUUGGCUCUGUGGGGUUGGAAUCUGCUUAACAAGACCACUUGGCUACCUGGCUUCAGCCCCCUUUCCAGGGGAGUGAGUGGUUCUGUCUCACUUGCGUUCCAGGCACCACACAAUUGGAAAUGUAGAAAUUACCUGCCUUCUGCGUUGGUCUCCCUGGGCGCUGCAGACUGGGGCUGUUCCUCUUCAGCCAUCUUGCAGGGAAUCACAAUAAAGAAUUUUUAAAAGGAAGAGAAAAGCAAUCAUCACUAUUUUGGUUUUGUUUUGUUUUAGGAGUAACUGACUACUGAACAGUACUGCAUGUUUCUGAGGUUCCUCUGUUAUUCCUGUAGUUCACUACCUCUGCAUCCUCCCCAGGACAAGAAAUUCAUUUUCCUUAUUGUACUGUGUUAUGCCAAGAAUAUUACUAUUGUUCGGUGAAUAUAAAAUAAUCAUUAUAGCAACAAUUUUUUUGGCGUCCUAAAUAAGGCUGAUCCAUGGCAACGGUACUAUGCAAAGAAAAGAAUAAAGUCAAAACACUUGUAAAACCUUUUACUUAUUGGUAUCAGACAUCUGUUAUUUUAUUAAUCCUCACAAUGUCUUUUAAAGGUUUUGUUAUUUGUAUCUACAAUCCGGGGAGAAGAAACUGAAGUACAGAGGGGCAAAACGAUUGUUACCUAGUUGAAUGACAAAUUAGAUGAGAAUCCAAUAUCCACAAGGUGUUAGGCCCUGGAAACAUUAAUCUCAUGUAUUAUUAGCUAUUCUCACAUACAUAUAAGCGAUCUUUCAAAUGAAAAGGAAACAUAACCAAGAAUAAAAAUACAUUUUUUUUUGUUUUCAAAGAGCUAUCAAUUUCAAUUAAAAACCCUGACAUGAAAUGUCUUAAUGUACCUGUUACUCAGUACCAAAAAAAAGUAAAGAAAAAUUUAGUAGUCUAAGAAUUAGAACAAGAGAUAAGAUGGUCCUGGGAUGAUUCCAGUACGUUUUGUUUAUCUACAGGAGAUUAUCUGCUUUGCGAAUAUUCAUGACUAAUUUUGAAUCUUAGAGCUGUAUUGCCCCACUGCCUGGUUAGCUUUGAGGCCCUUUCCUCCCACUACCCAGCUGGUGUGUGCUCAGGGAAGACAAACUCUUUUAAUACCAAUCCAAGCAAAACACAAUUAGGAAAGCAAAUGUGUUGGGAAAAUAACAAUAUCAUGGAUUACAAAGCCAAAUAAGAAAGAUUUGAAUGUCACCUACCCUUUGAAGUAUUGAACUAUUGUUUCUACGUGAUGCUUAGGCAAUUGAAUUGGGCCAGUCAUAUCACAAAGAGGUCUUUAAUCCGUAAGAGGGUCCCCCUCCUUGUUUGUUUUGCUCAGAAUAAUUGAAUUGGAGAGUUUGGCUCUGUCAGAGAAGUAGCCACAAGCCUGAUUCUUUUGCAAUGACCUGCAGAUAAUUCCAGAAAAAAAUUGAACCAUCUACCAGGAAAAGCUAUGGCCAUAACUUAAAAAUCACAUUUCUCUUCCUUGUUGAAAAUACCCAGAUCUCAAGAUGAUCUUAUAACUACAUCUGAAAGGCUGUUGAGCCCCCAUCCUCAUCAGAGUUCAUCUCUUCCAAUGCAUGCACAUGUGCAGUCCAUCUGCCAGGCAUGAAGUAAAUAUAAAAUUGACCUUCUUCAGAAAAGAAGGAAGACCCAGGUUUGAAUUAUUUUCUUCAUGUUUACAUAAACUUUUGAAAGGCAAGAUGAUUAAAUAGCACUUCCUGGAUAGGAUAGAGAUAUAUGUUUGUAGUUUCCAUUGGUUAGCUAGUAUACAUAAAUAUCAUUCUUAAAAAGAAAUCAAAUUCUAACGCAUUCAUGAAUAUCAUGCCCAUUUCCAUAUGACAGAAAGCUUUCAGCAGAGUUGCAUCAUCCAAAUGAUUCAGCUCCUUACAAAUUAAUGAUUUGCACAUACAGGUGUUUGGAUAAAAUACAAAUUUCCAGAAGGUUUCCAUUAUGCAAGAGUACCAAUAUUAAAAAUGCUCUGUAGAAAUUAGGAAAACAAACACGCUCAUUGCUAGAAAUUAAACUCUGAACCCUAUUGUAAUUGUAUUAAUCAUGAAAUUUACCACAUUAUUUUUGUAAAUAAAUUGAUUCAGAUGAAUACUUAAAAUUUCAUCAAUAAUUUUAGAAUAUAUUUAAAUAAGUAAUCACUCUUUAUAUUACAGCUUUUCUUUUGCAAGCGAGAUACACACUAUCACUUAGUGUUCAUAUUUAAGUUAAUGUUUAUUUACAAAUUACAAGUGACUGUCACAAGUAGAGUUUUAUUAAAUGAGUCUUGUAAUGGAAAGGAUUUGAAUUAAAGCAUGUACUGUACUUCUUUAUAUAGUUUUUUCUUCAUUUGCAACAACAAGCCUAGAAAUUAACAUAAUUUAUUUUUAAGAAAUUGAUGUUCUUCUGCAGAAUAAUAACCAUUCUCAUUUUGACCUAUUGAACUAGCUUUCUAUUUACAAAAAAUAAUUAAAUGUUGGUCAGAAUGUGGCAUCUUCUGAGGUUUUCUAAUCACCAGCAUUAUCAGUCCAGGCCAUUUCUUUGCCAACCCUACAUUAAUAUACUUAACUAAUGAGUUAUGAACCUUUAAGAGCCUUCUCCUUCUGCACUAAACUUUCCUAAGAAUUACUCCAAAUGCUUUCUCAUCUUUUCAUCUGUGUACCUUUUUCUUGUUCUAUCUCAAUCUUUUGUUUUUUAUUUAUUUAUUUUUUUGGUUGCUCAAGGGAACUAUCUGGCAUUUUAAAAAAUUCAAAUUAAUGAUAAAAAUUAUAUCAAUUUUUAUCCCACCAAGUUUAUGGAGGUAUGCCCACUUUAUUUACAUUAAUUAGAAAUCUUCAGUUUUAAUUGUAAUUUUUAAUAGGAAAAUGUUCUUUCCUGCUAAAUGUUCUACAAAAUUUCACGUCAUCUUUAACAGCAUUGAAGCACAGAAUGUAAAAAUGGAAAGAACAGAAGAUAUCAAAUUUAACCCUGCUUAUUUAUAUAUGUGUCAACUGAGGCCCAGAGAAAUGAAGAACUAUGCAUAAAGUCAAACAGCUAAUUAGUAUUAGACUGGUAUGCUAUACAAAUAUAGAUUUAAAAAAGUAUUUCUUAUAUUGUUAGCCAUUAAAGUCAUUUGUAUAUAUACAGGCAUAUGUGCAUAUAAUUGUUUCAUUAACUUUGCCAAUCAAAAAUGACUAUUGUCUCUAUGUGAUAUUGUAUCCUGAAUGUAUCCUGGAACAGAAAGAGGCAAUUAAUGGAAAAAGUGGUGAAAUUUGAAUGAAAUCUGGUGGUUAGUUAAUAGUUAUGCAUCAAGGUUCAUUUCUUAGUUUUGGCAACUAUACUAUGGUAAUGUAAGGUGUUAACAUUUGGGAAAAGUGGGUUAAAAUAUACAGGAACUCUUUGUAAUAUUUUGCAAUUUCUCUGGAAAGCUAAAAUUAUUUCAAAGUAAAAAUUAUAUUAAAAUACUCACUUAUAAUUCAGGAUUAUACAUAAGGCCAUUUACUUUAGAUACCUAAAAAAAGAAAAAGAUUCAGAUUCUCUUUAUGCACAAACUACCCUUUCAUUGUAAGCUGCAAUUCUGUUAUGUGCCUUACAGAUAGCAUAAGUUGAGUUCCUCAGGAAAAAGACUCAGAACAGAGAUCUAUCUGCAGGAGGAUUACUGGGGAGAGCUCUUGGGAAUAACAUAUACUAGGUAGAAAGGAAAAUAGAGUUUGCCAAGGGAAGAGUUAAAAUGUAGUAAAGGUGUAACAGAGGCCCCAACACAUCUGAUGGGGAUAGCAGUUCAAAGAUGUUCCAAACAGAGGCAAAAAGAGGCAAGGCCUUUGUACCCACCAUGCCCACAAGUCUUUGGGAGUAGGCUAUCCCAGGGAAGGGGCAGACUUUGAACAGGCAGCUCUCUUCAGUCGAGGGCAAAUCCUGGGGAGAGACUCAGCUGUGAGCUCUCAGCAGCAACUCUCCUGCAGCUGGAGGAGUGAGCACCUUAGUUUUAAAGAAGGGAUUUAUCUAUUGUGCCACAGCAUCCACUGAAGUGAAGGUAACUCUUGAGCACAAUGAUUGGUCAUAGGAUGAAUUUAAAAUUAGACAAAUGUGGCAGUUUCACUAGGCACAGGUAGUCAAAGUUACAUGAGUUUUACUGAAAUUUUUCUUGUUCCAAGAAGUUUUCCUCUUGAAUUUUUCUUCAUGUUUGUACCUGUAAUUAUCUAUAUAUUUCAUAACAUCUAUUCCAAGAUGUUAAUUAUUUGGGUUGAAAAGGAAACAGAAAAGGAUUUUUUUUAAGUGUACUUUUUUGGUUAUUUAAAGGAUGUGAUUUUAGAUGUGGGAAAUAUACACAGGAAGUCCACUGAGUUUGCUUAUCUGAAUGUAUAAUAAAUUCUUACACCACCCCUAUCUUCCACAUUUGUCUAAGUGAAAUUCAUCUUCAUUUUCAUUAAGCAUGGCUAAGUUAUGUUGUAACAAAUCAACCCCAAUAUCUCGGUGCCUUACCACAUCCAACCUUACAUGUCUAAUAAGAGCUAGCAAUGGUGCACAGAGGGCCCUAUUAUCUUGUAGUCCUGGUCUGGAACAGAGAGACUGUAAAACCACUGGAGGAGAGGCAGGGAGAAAUGGAGGCAACACGUCUCUGAAACCAGAAGUGACUCUUCUGCUCAUAGUCUAGUGUCUAAAACAUGUCACAUAGUUUCAACCUAACUGCAGGGGAAGCUAGGAAAUGUAAAGGAAUACAUGGAGAACCAACAGACUCUGUCAAAACUGGCUAGUGAACCUUCUGGAAUAUUCUCAUAGAUCGCUCCAACCCAGCAAAGACAAGACAUAAUUCGUAUUUCAAUCUUCUUUAUUUCAAUACUGGCUAGAGUCUUAGCCAUCACAGAAGCUUCUCUGAGCAGAAGAAUAAGGUCAAUCUUUGUGCCAUAUAUAUUUUUAUAUUAGCUAUAUUGGUUAGUGAAGCAACAACUUGAACAUUCAGACUGUUAACAUUUUUAAGGACACACAUAAAAAUGCUUUGGUGAGUUACAUAAUUAUGGGAAGACAGAAAUUUCAUUUUAAAAAUCUUUUGAAUCUAUUAUGGAAAUUAGCUUUACAAUUAUAAAAUCCUAGACUUAAAAUAUCUAGGCAAGGAUAUUUUAUGUGCUGGUUGCUUUAUAAAGAUCCACAAUGUAUUAGGGCAAAUAGGACAUACAAAAAUCAUCAGCAAAUAUCCAAACAGAACAUCAGUAAAGAGCAUUAGAGGGUGAGGCUUUUAUACAGAGGCAUGUAUUUCCUUGCCAUAUGGUACUGGUUUUUCAGUUAAAAUAUUUUCCUUUCUGAGAAAAAAAAGCCUCUCUCUGUUAAUGGUAGAGUAAACCUGUUUUUUUUUUUUUUUUAAUUAGAAUUACCAUUUGUCAUGAAUACUGGUCACAGGAACAUGAGUCUUCUUAUUAAAGAUGUGUAAAGUUAUAGUUAAAAUUCUGGGCCCUAAAAUCACACCACCUGAAUAAAGUUACUGGCUCUGUCAGUUACUGUUUCUGGGCAAUCAAUUAACCUCUCUGUGGCUGAGUUUCUUCAUCUAUAAAACAGACAUAAUAGUUUUAUCUACCUAACAGUGUUGCUGCAAGAACAAAACAGUAUUUGUAAAAUGUUUAUUUCAAUGCCUGGCACAUAGUAAACUCUGGAUUUGCUGUUGUUAUAGCUACUGUUCAACCACUUCUAAAAAACAACAAAUUAGUUUUAUAACAGAGGAAGCCUUUAUAAUGAACAAUUUCAGUCCAAUGGAAGAUUUAUUUUAAAAAAUGGCACCAAUAUACAUUUUUGAACGCUAAAAUAAGUUUUAUGAACAUUACUCAUUUUUUUCCUUUUCUUGUACUUUGUCUUUUCCAACCAGAAAAUCAUUUCAAUGGGAAAAUAUGUUGGCAUGUUUGUUUUAUUAGCUAAUACAUUUUCUCAUGUGAUAUCAGCUCACGGCAAAAGUUAAGGAAUAAAAAAAGAAAAGAUCUUUCUUCUUUCCACCUACUGAAUUCUGCCUGAACCUCUCCCACUCCCAUACACACACCAACACGCCCACUGUUCCACAGCAAUAUACUGCUUGGCAUUCUGGCAGGGAACAGAAAGACAAAGCAUCAUGGGAAGAAACGGUUAGAAAAAAAUAACUGAAAGAUGUGGAAAUUUUUAUGCUCAGAGGCUCUUGGCAGUCAAUGAGAAAUAGGAGAUUGGAAUGGAAACUAUAAAGGGGUAACUCUAAUUUCUUUCCAUUCCUCUUUGUGUCUUGCAGUAUUCUCUUCUAGCAGUGGAAGGAGGAGACACGAUCAAAUCAUUUAUAGCUUUAGGAUCUUCCAGUUGUGCUUCCCUUUACCUGAUAUCCAUAGAUACGUUUUCUUGAUUCUAAAAAUGUAUAAGCAAGAAGAACCCCACUUCUAAUUGCUACUGAGCAUUGCCCAGAUCUUAGCACCUAAAGUUAUAAGCAAUCCAGAACACAUGUUAUUGGGUGAACUGUGUCCCCCAAAAUUUCAGAUGUGGAAGCCCUAAACCCCAGUACCUAGAAUGUGACUGUAUUUGGAGAUAAAGGUCUUAAAGGAGGUGAUGAAGUUAAAAUGAGGCCAUUAGGGUGAGAAUCAAUACAAUCUGAUUGGUGUCCUUGUAAGAAGAGGAAAUUCGGACAGAGAGAGAGGGAUACAGGAAUGCAGGCGCACAAGAGAAGGACCAUGCGAGGAGACAGCAAGGAGGCAGCCAUCUACAAACCAAGGAGAGAGCCCUCAGAGGAAACCAAACCUUGAAUUUGAACUUCUGCCUCCAGAACUGUGGAAAAAAUACAUUUUUUGUUGUUUAAGCCACCCAGUCUGUGGUAUUUUAUUAUGGGGGCUCUAGCAAACUAAUACAACGUAUUUUUUUUUGAUUCAGUAAAAUCAAAUUAUUGGCUUCUCCUUGCACACAAUUGGCUCAGUCUUGCCAAUAUGUGUACAUAUUAGUUCUUAUUAUGUCCACCAAUCUCUCCUUCAAAAUGUAGCUUAACAUCUACUUUCUCCAGGGACCGUCUCCUACUUAUUCCAUUCCAAUUGAUUACUCUCAUAACAUCUGAGUCUUAAGAAAGUCAUGUGUUUGUAUAUCUGUGUUACUUCAGAAAUACUAUCAUUUGUUGGGGUUGUUGCUGUGCUGUGUGUUACUGGCUAUUGAUCAGGCUUCCUAAAGUCAGGAAAUAUUCUUCUCCCUGAUGGCAUGAUUCUCCUCUUUCUAUUUCAAUGGUUAUGAAAAAAGGCAAAAUUCACUCUUUGCCAGACACUCUUAUAAUACAUUAUAUGCCUUGUCUCAUUUAACAUUAGUCUUUGUGUUAAAGAAAAUAAACUACAUAAAAUGUAUAUACUUUAUUGGUCUACUUCAGAGAAAACAUUCCCACUCUGAAACUUUGGGGUGGUGAUAAAUAAUUACAGUUAUGUUAUUUAAACUCUAUCACACAUUUAUCCAUACUAAUUUUUAGUUUUGGAAGAAGUGAUGUGGAAAUGGUAUUCAAAUUAACAUUCUUUGCUCCUUUUCUUGUACUCCCCGGAGCUAAGUUUAUUAAUAUCAAAGAUUUCUAUUCAUUCUAUGUAAAUUUACUAAAGUCUGUUAAAUCUCCUGAUUGCUGACAUUUUAGAGUUUUAUACACUUUUUGUCUCUCUUUUGACAAAUCACACACAUAUCUUCAGGGACUCUUAUUACAGAGCUAAGUACAUUGUCUGACAAAAGCUGAAGAAUUUUAAUAGAUAAAUGACAAAUUUUAACAAAGAGUUCUAGUGAGUUAAUUUCUGAAAUCGUUUACUGUAUGUAUAGAAAACUGGCAGAAGUAAUUUGAUGAAGUGCAGGUUUUCUAUACAUAAUAAAAGAGAAAAGUAUUAGUAGAUAUAUUUGAUAAGAUCCAUCUAUUUGAUGGAUAAUCAUAAAAAUAACCUACCAAUACAAAUAUGGCUUCUAGUUUUUUUUUUCCUCUGGAAUAAAAAAAAGUCACCACUUAUCAAUAUCUAUAAUCUCCAUCAUUUAGAUUGCUGCCUAAGUAGCAUUUAGAAUGAAUCCAGAAGGUCAAGUUCAGAUGAGAAACAGAAGCACUUCUACUACUGAAAAAUCAAGGACACCUUGGACUCCAAAAAUAAAAAAAAAAAGCUUUAUAAUUUAAAUAUACACCUAUGAGUAGUUGCAUUUUUCCUUGAAUACUUAGUUUACAUUGUGGUACAUGUGUGGGGGUGCAUGUGAAGGAGUGUGUUUGAUCAGAUUACUGCAUGAUCUGUUCUCUGCAGGUGCUGGAAAAGGUCAGAGAAAAUCAUCAUCAUAAAGUGAAGUGAUUUUCUUCUUUAUGAGCUCCUGAUGUAAACAGACUGAUGAGCACAACACAAUCCUUACUCACCCACAUGACAUCAUACACAAUCACAGCUAAAUGUUUCUAUCUGUCAAAGCCUGAAGAGUGACUACCAGAUUGUUGCCUGAUUGGUAUGUAACCCAAAUGGUAUUUCCUUGGUAUCUAGUUGGUAGGGUAUAUUUUGUAAGAUUUCUGGGCCCUGUUGGGGUGGGUCAAAGACAGUGAGCACUGAGCCAAGGUUAGAGUUUACCAGCUCAGAAAAUGAGCAGGCUGUGUUGGUAAUGGAGCAGCAACAUUAUUGAACAUUUAUUGACUGAAGAACAAGGAAAUUAAAAAAUGAAUUUGAAACAGACAUUUCUUAUUUUAAAAUCAGAAAAUACAUAUCACAUUCUUUGGAAAGCAAGGGUUUGUAAGCAUGUGGCACUUAAUCUUUGUUCAUAAUUUAUGCCCAUGUUCAAGACAUUUUUAAAAUCCAUUUUUUACAGACACUAAUUUUGCUGCCAGGCUCCAUUUACUGCCAGUUAAGCAGCAGCUUUUAGUAUAUGGAGGCCUCACUGAAGAUUCACCUUCUGAGUUUUCCUACCCAAGACAUUUAAGUCAGAAUCUGGACCCAAUCUGCCACAUCAGAGCUAGCAGCAAGUGAAGAGGACUCAAAGAUUCUGCUGGUAUAAACAUACUCUUUGAGGGAGCAGCCAAAUAGUUUGGAAGUUUAGAUUUCUUUCUUUUUGGAAAAAAGAAACAACCGUGGUUAAAUAACAUUGCAGAUUAUCUUGAAGAGGAGCUUUAUAUACGAUCCGGGACAGAUAUAUAAUUACUUUUAAUUAAAAAUGAAAUUAUAAAAUUUAUUAAAAAGUCUGAUUAGAAGGGAAUGGGAGAUAAAUUUCCUAAUAGCGUAGGACAAUACUGUCUUCUAAUUAGACCUUAAUUUCAUGUAAUUACUUACUACAUACAAGAGCUAUCAGCAGUAGAACACACUCCUGUUUUUAAGACAUUAUGGAAAAAUAAGAUACAAAAUGUCAGCAAUUGAGUUACAUAGUCCACUUCAAGCAUGUGCCAAAGUUUUGUUUUGCUGUCAAAUAUCACUAUUUAACUAAACACUAAAAUAUAGCCAAGCAAACAAAAAGUGCAAUGGCACACAUCAUACAUGAAUAUGAUUGGAUUAAAGCACUAUGCAUAUUAUUUGCUUUCAAAAACAAAGCAAACAAGCGUACAUUUUUUCUUGUGUAUUCAUGGCCAAAAAAGAGCUUAUCCAACAUAUGUGAAGGUACUUUGCAUUAUCAUAUCAUAAUCUAUGGUUAUAUCAAUUUGUUGGGUAUCUUUCUUACAAUUCUUAAUGGUAGCUUUCUCCAUUCAUAGAUUUUUUUUCACCUUUAGCAAGCUGCACCAAUUUCUUAGAGUCAAAGAAUGGUUGCCAGUGGUCUGAACUUUUGAUUGAUCUGAGCUGUGUUUAGCUUUAAUCUAUCUCUGCACAUGACUAGCUAAAGAGAUGUUCUAUCAGAUUCAGUCCUUGUAGCUUCAAGUCUUUCUCUAUAUGCAUCUAGAGUGAGAAAAGUUUUCAAAUGCAAGUAGGGUCAGGAUUUAACCCUUAUUUGGAUUUUAUUGUGACUGUAGAGGGAGGACUGACAAUUUCCACAGAGGAAGGGGUCAAGACCCAGAGGAAAACACAGAGGAUUUAGGUGAGGUUGUGACUCUUGACUUGAGCAAAUACAGAUUUAAUGGUUUGGAAAUGGAUUUCAACCUACUCUGGUAUGAAAUUCAGUGCUGAGUCACAGAGAGCCAGAGCUGACAGCUCCAAAGAAGCAUGGGUUAGGAUCAGGGCAGAAAGGAAGUUGAUGCUAAAUGGAGAACAGCAGGAGUUUGAUGCGUGGCUGGAAGAGAUAGACAGAGUGUGUUAUGAGUUGGGGGAAGAGCAGAUGGGGUGUGACUGCCAGCCUACCAGCUAAUUAGAAAAUACUGAUUUAUUAAACCUGAACUCUAAGAGAAAAGCCCGUAAUAUGUACACCUCUGACAGAAAGGACAGAAAUGUGGUUUUUCAUAUGACCACAUUCUGAAUUACUUUUAUUUAUGAACUAUAUGUUGUUAUCACUUGAAAUGACAAGAAAGGUCAUUUCUCCUUAGCAAAGAAAAUCCUUUCAGAAAAUUUUCGAAAUAAAUUACCAACUAGAAUUUGUAAUGAGGCAUGAUAUCCCAAAAUAUUAGACAAAGAGUAAGACAAAUACAAUUCAGAAUCAUAUUCUGCUUGUUGCUGGCCUGAUAAUAAGCCUUGAUUCAUUUGGAAAUAAUAGUUUAUAGUCAGAGAUAAACCAUUAUUUUUGGAAAAAUGGGUCCAUCACAUCACUUUUAUGUGUUAUCUUCAUAACAAAUCAGAACAUAACCCAUUGUACAAUAAAACACAACUUGAUUUUCAACCAGGCUGUCUUCCAGCAGCAUAAUUCUAUCUGCUUUACAAGAACAAUGGUUUAAUGUUGACAGAUCUGGGGCCACAUGAACUGUGGGCAGAUACUUGAGUAAAGCAUUGCUUAGCCAUUCUGUUUUCACUCUGUUGAAAGGUAGACCUUAUCCAAAAGAUCACUCUAGCCUGACCUACUCUUUGUUAUUAUUAGUAACAUUAGUAGUAGUCCUAGUACUAUUGGCUUGGGUGGCCAGAGUUGUUAGUUGUUUAAUACUCAUUCGAUGGAAGAAAUAAUCUAAGCAGGAGGCUUUCAUUCUGUUAUUUCCAUGAUAAGUAAUUCACUGACUUGGAUGUUUAUGGUACCAAGAUAGAAAUAUCUUCUAGAGAGCUAUGUUUAAAAUGUUUAACUGUUGAAGACCAUUGUCCAUUUUGGAUCAGAAAUGAGAAGCCUCUUAUCAACUCCCCUCAGGCUAUGUUAGAUAUAUUUUAAAGUUUCUUUGCAAUGCUACUAAUUAUUACACUUUUCCACAGAUGUAGCUCAAGGCACUAGUUUUCUGAGAAUAAUUUAUUAAUAAAAUAUUGAGCAUUAGGAAAUAAAGGUAUUUUCCUUUAAUGGCAAAAAAUCUAAACAGCCUAAAAUAAUCUAGCAGGUAAGGAUGUUACCUGAGUGGUGAAAUUGAAAAGAUUACUCCUGGGGAGAAAUCACAAAUGUUCAAUAACUUUUUCUCUCUCAUUUACAAUUGCAGUGGAAGGGAAUGAAAUGAACUAGAAAUUUAGGGUUUGAGAAAAUGACAUGCGAAGAGUUCAAACUCAUAAUAAAAAUGUGAAAAUUGUUUAGAUAGAAGAAAUUCCAAAUUGUUAGGAUCAUUAUGCAUUUUAUUAAUAAGGAAACAAGUCUCAAUUAAAUGUCUUGCUUUUAUCAUUUCUUCACUUAUUUUCCCCUCAACCUCUCCAGUCAGGCUUUGUCUCUACUAUUCUACUGAAUCCUUGUAGAGGACAUUAUUGAACUACCAUUUGCCAAAUCCAAUAGUCCUCUUCAUACUUGAUCUCUCCACAGAAUGUGAUAGAGUACUACCUCAUUGUGGACAUACUCUUUUUACUUAGCUUAUGACCACUACGCUGCUUGUUUUCCUAUUUCUCCUCUGUACUUCAUUUCCUGUGUGGGCUCCUCUUCUUUAUGCUAGUCUUAGCUCAGUUCUAUUUUCCGUUACAGCCAGUCCCUAUGUAAUAUCUUCUAAUCCCAUAAUCUUAAAUAUGUCAUCUAAAUGCUGAUGACCUCUAAAUCUUUUCCACCAGUACAGACUUCUCCCCUGAGCUCUACGUUUUUAUUUUCAACUACUUACUCAAUAUUCCUUUUCUGUUGUUUAUUGCACAUCAAAAACUCAACAUGUUUAAAUUGGAAUUAUUUUUUCUUACCUUCUUUCUCCUUUCUGCCUGUUCCUUUCUGGUUUUCCUCACCUCAGCAAAUGAUGUCACUAUUCAGCCUUCUAUUUGGUCAGAUCAGAAUCCUUGGUUUAAAAUUUUAAACCAGUUCAUAUCUCUCCUCUACAGAGAAAUCUCUAAUGGUUUUCCAUCACAUUCAGUACAAAAGUCAAAGUCAUUACCACAGCUUGUGAAACCUAGUAUGAUCUAGCACUUGCUUAAUUUCUACCAUGUCUUCCUUUCAUUCUCUGACUAGCAACAGUGACCUUUUUUGCUUUAAUGCCAGAAAAUAAGCUUAUUUCUACUUCAAGUCCUUUAUAUUUGCCAUUCUUUUUCUGGAAAAUUCUUUCUAAGAUCUUCACAAGGUUCACCACCUAACUUCCUUUAUGUUUCUCUUCAGAUUUCACUUCCUCAGGUUGGCCUUUACAUAUCACCCAAUAGGAAAGAGUGCCCACCUCCCCCAACACAUGUUAUCAACAUCUGCCCCCUUUCCUCCUUCAUAUUUCUUUCUAAUCUUAUCACUUCUUGAAAUAUAUUGUGUAUUUAUUUGUUUACUUAUUUAUUGUAUAUCACCUGAAUAUCAGCUUCAUGAAGGCAAGGUCCUCAUCUCAUUCAAGAUUAUAGCUGCAGUGCUAGGAAUAUAUCUUGAACACAGGUUGUUCUCAAUAAACAUUUGUAGGAUGAAUACAUGAAUGGAUGAAUAAAUGAAUAAAGGUAUAUUACUUGAUUGUUCUACUUGACUCAGUUUUGUAAUUAGGUAUGGAGGUAUAGCUGUUUCUCAGGAUGAGAAUUUUGUUGACAUUGCAAUCAUCACUCUUUAGAAGAUAGCUAAUCACUUUUGACAUCAUUUUCUCAUCACUUCUCCUUAUACACCCUCUGUCACACACAUAACUAGUAUAAUCUCUGGCUUUCUGCACCAACCCGAUGAUAAUAUUUCUUUGACUAUUAAAUGUAUGGGAGAGUAGAAUAAAACUGCCCUGUUUAGCAUGAGUGGUAGUGGCAUUUCAGGCAGGACAGAAAGACUUUAGCUCUGAACUCUCUAGUCCCAGUCCUAGAUGAUAGAUUUUUUGGGCCCACCUACACAGUGUUCCUCAACUUCUCUGUGCCUGCCCAAAACAAGUAGUGCAUUUCAGUUUCUGUGAGUUAACCCCCCCGCCCUUUCCUUUCCAAAGGUUCUGUGUGUGUUUUUUUUCCACAUUGCCAUUGCUGCACAUUUCUUUAAAAACUCAUAACAAAAAAUUGAAUUCCCAAACAAAAUCCCAUACCAUAUGUAAAAGAGCAUGUCCCUCUCUCAACCGGAGGUGUAUUUUGAAAUAAGAAAGUAACAGCUCAGCAGUCACUUACCAUAGCUUGCUGAGUAAGCUGGGCUCAGGUUAAAAGGGGGUUAUAGGCUGCCAGCCAAAACACUGACGGCAUUGCUGAAUUCAGAGAUUCAGAAACUCUAUAUGUCCCAAAGAUUCUGUAUGGCUGCCAUUAAUUACACUCUCUUAUGCUCUAUCAUUGAAAGUAUCUCAAUCCAGUUCCCUCAUGUGGAUCAGAACAGGUAGGAAUUUUAAUAUAGAACUUGUUAACUUACAUUUUAAAAAUAUAUUCAAUAUUAACAUUAAGAACAUUGAAGAGUAUUGCCAUCUCAGUGAAACUGAAUCAAUCAGAAAUAGACAUAAUCACACUUGUUUACCACAACAUUUAUCAUCAGAUUGGAUGGAAGGUGAUUUAUAUAGCUCAUGUAGGUUGGGUCAAAACUGACCCAAUAGUAGCUCUUGAAGAUGUUAAAGAUGUUGUUACUUGGAGAAAUCAUAGAAAAUAAAUCAAAGGGGUAUAAUUUUAAAAGUAUAUAUUGUAUAUGUGAAAAAAUUACUAAAUAUAAUCAAUAGUAGGGGCUUAAAUUAUUAUUGUUUACUUCAUUAAUUUUUAUAUAAGUUAUUGCCACAGGUUUGGAGGUAUCCAUUAUUCCAGGGGUACAUCUGCAUGAGUCUAUGUUACCAAUAAAUGAUGCCAUUCAUUGUCAUGCGCGAUUCUGUGCGUAGUAAAGGUCUUUGGUUUUGAAAACAUACUACUUAUUUCUUAUAAAACUUUUGAUGACAAGAAUUCUUCAGGGUUUUUUUUUGUGCCAAAAAUACACUAAUGUGGUAAACUUUGAAAGAUUUGAAAGUGAAAUUACAUUUUGUAGAAUCUUUUAAGCUGUUUCCAACCUGUAACACAGGGACAUUUCAAUCAGUGUUUACAUUUUUAAAAACUGAUAUAUUAAGAAAAUAUUUUGCCUUCCUAUAUACCCAGAUACUGUGGUAUUUUCUAUUUGAGAUAAUGCUUAAAGGAUAAUUGAGAGGAAAAUUAUUCUUGUGAAUCGACACUUAGUUUUGUGAUCUCUACGUAAGAUACUUAAAAAGAUUCAAUUUUUUAUCAUUAUAAUCAAGUAGAAUUUUUUUCUCCAUAAGGUUACAUCUGUUUAUGCUAUUUUAUUAUCUGUUGAAUGGUAUGAUAUGAAGUCUCUUUAUUGCAGCUUAGCUAAAGAAGCACCAAGCCUGUGAUGGAGCUGUCAAUCAGCAUUUAGUCAUACAGUAUCUAUUUCUAUCCCUGUUCUUCUUAGCACAGAAGGGCUAUUAUAGUCUACAUUACGGCAUAGUAUCUUUGGAUAUAGAUAUCCUUGAGGGGCAGGAUUUAUUUUGAAAGAGGACACUCAACAUAACAUGACACAUCAUUUAGACAUUUUUAAAAAGUACACAUGCAGGUAUUUCAAAGUAAAAUAUAGCAAAAGUUAAUUUUAAACAUUCAAUUUAACAUUUUGUGGAUUCAUUUCCUUUUUUUCUUACCUUAAUAGCACUGAAAAAGAUCAAAUGGGGUCAUGUGACUCUUUAGUAAUUGAAAGUGUCUAUUUAAAGGCAUCCCUGUGCAAAUCUUCUUGCAUUAUCACCUAUGAAAGGCUAACUGUUGUAAAAUAGUAUGCCUAUCGAAAUUAACAAGAGAAAAACCAUUCAAGGCCAAAAAGAAAGGAAAAUUGUGCUGAAAUGCAUUUAUAAACACCUGAAAAUUGAAACUUUUCCAGAUGUCAAUAAUAUAUAUUUCCAAGUACACCAGUAUAUAUGGAAUAUGACUAAAAAUUAACGAGACUGAUUACAAACCACAAACAUGAAAAUCAGUCAUGCAGCUGUAUAUCACACUGGAUGUGCUUCCAGAUGUGAUGAUAAAAAUGGAUACAACCUUUUAAAGCAUGAGCUUGGAUAUGCUAUGCAUGUGGCACUCAUUAGCUAAGCAAAUGGAUGUUAAUCUUUAUGACAGUCAAUUGCUGUGCUGCAUUUCUACUGAGUGCUUAUCAGCUGGUCUGACCUGAUCAUCAAGAGCAUCAUGACUUAAUUUACAGGAGGAUUAUUCUUCCUUCCCCUGCAAUUCCAUGGGUUUAAAAUACACAAAAAAGUUUUUAAAAAGAAAUGGCUGAAGCAUUUAAACUUCCUGAUUCCCCAUAGCUUUGCAGUACGUAGGUAAUGGGGUAAAAAGAUUUAGAUUCACAGAUCUGGAAUUGAGCAUCAUUGAGUAUCUAAUUUUCCAUGUUCAGGGCUGAGAAAUUAACCUCAUUUCUCCAACUGACUUGUUUUCCUUUGAAUAGUUAAAGAUAUUCAUAUAAGAAAAUAUUUAGUCUUUUAAAAGGAUAGGCCUUUUCUACCCAUAGUAAAUGGUAUCUUUAGUAAAUAGAUGAGAAAUGUCAUGUUAUGCAUCCAGAAGAAUCAGAAGCAUCUCUAGAGCUCUAACAAACAUUGUAUUUCUUAGAAAAGUUAUCGUGUUACUAUAUUUGCCUACAUACUCAUGGUGUUACCAUCAGUAAACUUGUUGAUUUGGACUACCUUGAGCUAAUUAUGAAAGACAUGGGAGAAUACCAGGUCUACCCCCAUGAAAUGGAGAGCUUGACAUGCUAG